GGAGGAAAGCAGGGGAUCGUAAGACCUUGCGCUUUUGGAGCGGCCGAUGUCUGAUUAGCUAGUUGGUGGGGUAAUGGCCUACCAAAGCUUCGAUCAGUAGCUGGUCUGAGGGGACGGCCAGCCACACUGGGACUGAGACACGGCCCAGACUCCUACGGGAGGCAGCAGUGGGGAAUUUUGGACAAUGGGCGCAAGCCUGAUCCAGCCAUGCCGCGUGAGUGAAGAAGGCCUUCGGGUUGUAAAGCUCUUUCAGCCGGGAAGAAAAGGCUGCGAUUAAUAAUCGCAGUUCAUGACGGUACCGGAAGAAGAAGCACAGGCUAACUACGUGCCAGCAGCCGCGGUAAUACGUAGGGUGCGAGCGUUAAUCGGAAUUACUGGGCGUAAAGGGUGCGCAGGCGGUUUUGUAAGUCAAAUGUGAAAUCCCCGGGCUUAACCUGGGAAUUGCGUUUGAAACUACAAGGCUAGA
rnacentral:rRNA from 1 species